rnacentral:rRNA from 1 species
GCUUUUGUCAGGGAAGAAAUCGUCUGGGUUAAUACCUCGGGNGGAUGACGGUACCUGAAGAAUAAGCACCGGCUAACUACGUGCCAGCAGCCGCGGUAAUACGUAGGGUGCNAGCGUUAAUCGGAAUUACUGGGCGUAAAGCGUGCGCAGGCGGCUUUGCAAGACAGAUGUGAAAUCCCCGGGCUCAACCUGGGAACUGCAUUUGUGACUGCANGGCUAGAGUGCGGUAGAGGGGGAUGGAAUUCCGCGUGUAGCANUGAAAUGCGUANAUNUGCGGAGGAACACCGAUGGCGAAGGCAAUCCCCUGGACCUGUACUGACGCUCAUGCACGAAAGCGUGGGGAGCAAACAGGAUUAGAUACCCUGGUAGUCCACGCCCUAAACGAUGUCAACUGGUUGUUGGACGGCUUGCUGUUCAGUAACGAAGCUAACGCGUGAAGUUGACCGCCUGGGG